AGGGAGAAGUGCUGAAAGCAUCUAAGCAUGAAACUUGCCCCGGGAUUAGUUCUCCCUGACCCUUUAAGGGUCCUGAAGGAACGUUGAAGACGACGACGUUGAUAGGCCGGGUGUGUAAGCGCAGCGAUGCGUUGAGCUAACCGGUACUAAUGAACCGUGAGGCUUAACCUUACAACGCCGAAG
rnacentral:rRNA from 1 species